rnacentral:rRNA from 1 species
UACGUAGGGUGCAAGCGUUGUCCGGAAUUAUUGGGAGUAAAGAGCUCGUAGGCGGUCUGUCGCGUCUGCUGUGAAAACUCAGGGCUUAACCCUGAGCUUGCAGUGGGUACGGGCAGACUAGAGUGCGGUAGGGGAGACUGGAAUUCCUGGUGUAGCGGUGAAAUGCGCAGAUAUCGGGAGGAACACCGGUGGCGAAGGCGGUUCUCUGGGCCUGUACUGACGCUGAGGAGCGAAAGCGUGGGGAGCGAACAGG